ACGAGCCGCAAAACGGGAAGAAAAAAAACGCAAAAAAAACGCAAAAAAAGUGACGCUGUUUAAACACGGAAACUGUUCCCGAAGGACAGGAAAAAAACUCGGCGUGACGUCAGACGCCGAAAAGUCGCGUGCGGCAAUGACAGGCAAAGAGUUCUAAGAUGGCGGUUUUGACCUGGUCCAGAUGGAGGACUUGUCCAGAAUGUAGCCUCUGGACCUGAUGUGAGGACGAGGACAAGGCCAGAAAAACAAGACAAGUGCCACAGUCACAACUUUAUUGUUAGUUAAGGUUUGCUACCCUUUUCUACAGUGGAGGUUAUGCACUGUGGUUGCUAUCUGGCUAGUAUCUGUGACCAUGGCGUUACCCAAGGUCACCUACAUUGAUUUUAAUGGCGGUUGCACAUGGUCAAUGGCUCAAGAGCAGUGGCUGUUCUUUCUGGUUCCUGCCUUCCUGAUUUAUUAUGUGGCCCCCCUCCUCUGCAUCACCAUCAACUGUGGCCUCAUCAUCUCUCACCUCCACAGAUGCAGGGGAACCUUGGCUGCAGACCGGCGCAACAAGAAAGCCACAGCUCUGCUGAUUAGUUCAACACUGGUUUUUGCCAUCAGCUGGUUGCCUUAUUAUGCACUUGAAUUUGUCAAUGUUAUGUCUCCUCAUGUUAGCUCAGUGGCCUCUCCUAUUGGCACAGUUGGGAGUAAGCUUUCUUCAACGCUGUCUCCAUCACAUGGGCCAAGUGAGAACCCGGAGGCAGAAGUUUCCUUGCUGUGGGAGGUUGCGUCCCUGACAGCCAUCUUACUGGUGUGUCUGGCACCAUGCUGGAACCCGCCACUGUACUUCCUGUUGUCACGUCCAGCAGUGCGUCAGCUCCAAGCACUACUGCCUCCCUUCUUAGGUAAGUGCUUGGAAAAAAAACAAACUGUACAGCGUUGGCGUAUUGCUCCUGCUCCCCCUCCUCGCCUGCCACACCCACAACCUCCUGCACAGUCACUUACUCGCAAAACUUUGACGUGCAAACUGACUCAGUAAAGCUAUUACUCAGUCAGAAUAGCCCCCUCGCACUGUAUAAGAUAGUUUCUCAUUUCAUUCGAUAUAACUGUUCAACUGCUGCAAAUAUCAGACACUCGCAUGACCGUAACUCAGUGCCUUUAGGCAUUUAGGAAAUGGUCAAGACAAUAUAAUGUGAAUUGGACGUGGCAUCGUUGAGAAACAGACCGAUAAUGUGUAACCUGAUAAAGUGGCCAAUGAGUGAAUGAGUCACGACAUGCUUUGCACACACAUUCCCUUUGCUUUCGUAAUGUUCCAGUCAAUGUAUGAAAAAUGCUCCAAGCAGUGUGUAAAACUCUCACAUGUGACAGUGUAUCAUAAACACAAUGCAUUAUGCACCAUAAAAAAACAAUGGUCUGUAUUUCUCAUCACAAUGCCAGAGUCACUAAGCAACUCACUGUCCUGGCAAAGAGGAGAACUACAUAUUUGAAAUGAUUUUACAGCUUAAAGAACGUUAUCCUUAUAUUAAAAGUGCACAUCAUUUGCAAAAAUUCAGGUCACUGAACUUUGAGACGUCUUUAGAGCUCCCACAUGGGACCUUCUGCAACCUGAGCAGCUUUUCUCAGGGACUGAAGCAUGUCUGCUGAGCCAUGUUGUCUGACAUAACCCAUCCAAGCAAACAUAAACUGAAUUCCCCAUGGAGCUUUUAACAACCAUUCCAGGGUUGCAUUAAAAAGAACAUUUUGGACCAUGAGAAAUAUGACAUAUAGCGUGUGCGCAGCAUAAAUAAGUGUUGCCUGUUUUGAGAAACCUCCCUGGGACAUCAUUAUGUGGCAUCUACUACAAUUACAACAAGCAAUACAACCUUGUAACCCCAUAAAUAAGCCGUGAGAGCAAAAACACAGGGCACACAAUGUGCCAUGUCUGGCUCAAUAAGCUCCCUGAAAAUCUAGUGGCUGCGGCAUUAUCUAAAUUCAAUGUCAUCUCAAUAACCUUGGGAAAAGAGGCAUGUCUUGAAGCAAUAAUAAAAGCUGACUUGUUUUGUUCUAAGCUCGAUUGCCGAGACGUUCUUAUCAUUGUUGUGAUUUGAUACAAAGAAUCCCAUCUAAAGAUGAACCAAGAGAAAAUUACUUCUUAACAAGUGGAGCCCAUCUACAUCUGAAAUGGUUUGAAACCACAGUGUAAAGGGCAUGUCAUGUACAGGCAGUGGUCAUGAGCUUUUGUCUGACAAAUUGGCUGACGACAAGUAAUUGGAUUUUUUUUUGUGGUGAGGUUAUUCAUGCUGAGACAUGUA